rnacentral:lncRNA from 1 species
UUUGUAUAUGAGGUGUCCAUCUAUCCUUUAAAACCAGAACUGAUAUCUCCCUCAUGAUUCUCUUCCCUUCCAUUGAAAGUGUGUCAAAGAGGGUUAGGUCUAAUAGGAUUAGGUCGGAUGUGCGGGAUAUAGGAUACGAAGCAAUUGCAUUGUUGCUAGAGUUUUCGAGGAACAUGGCUUGAUGACUACGUAUCUCUUCUCCAACAUAGAUGAUCUGACAUACGAGGAGAUGAACGAGUAUUCCCAACAACUGAUGUGGCUCAAGAAAGAAAUUGACUACCGCAAGUCUUUGAAGCCUACUAGCCCAGGUGUGCCAUCCCGCCAACAACCAUCAUUGUUCGAUAAAAAUAGAGUGGAAACUUUUUGGUUUUAAGACAAAAAAGUGGAAUGGAUAGGCAAUAUGAAAUUGUUAGCAAAAAAUUGUACAACGAGAAUGGAAAGGAAGUUUUCAACGGGCAAACAGAAACAAAAUAGAAUGAUGAUUUCCUAUAAAAAACAUAGAAAUUGAACUUUCCAUUUCCACUAUGGACCUAUGGCUUCUUUGUAUCCCAAACACCAAAGAACACAGAAUUAGCCAAGUGUGGUUUAACUUCUACUACUAAGCGAGGAAGUUAGCCAUGAUUGUAACCAUAAUGGAGGCGAGGCCUAAAUUUCCCUUAACAGAUUAUUUGUGAGCUUAAAGUUUGUUGUACUUGUAAGAGGUCGACCAGAUACACUAUGUUGAUCUACUUACAUAGGGAGCUUAUCCUUCUAAUUACCACAAAUAUGCUUUUGUUUUGUCAAAUUUGAAAAACUCUACGCAAAUGUGAAUCCUAUGAUAUAUCCAUCAUAGUAACUUGUACUUAGGUUAACCAUUAACUAAGAGUUUUGGUUUGCUUGUAUUUUCAAUAUGGUUCAACGGAGUUUUAAGUUCCAGUCAACAACAUAUUCACUCCAUGUCCAAUUCUGAU